rnacentral:misc_RNA from 1 species
GAUAAGAACGCAGCGAAAUGCGAUAAGUAAUGUGAAUUGCAGAAUUCAGUGAAUCAUCGAAUCUUUGAACGCACCUUGCGCUCCUUGGCAUUCCGAGGAGCAUGCCUGUUUGAGUGUCAUUAAAUUCUCAAGACCUGUCUGCUUUUUUGAUAGGUAUUGGAUUUUGGGGGUUGCAGGCUGUUUCAAAUAAAUAGCCUUGCUCUCCUUGAAUGUAUUAGUGGAGAAAAGCCAUUGAACUCCAUUGGUGUGAUAAAACCUAUCAAUGCCAGGAGCAAUAUCACUACUUCUCUCUGCUGUCUAACUGUGACUGUCUGUAUUAAUUAGUAUGGAUGGGGACAACUUGACCAACUUGACCUCAAAUCAGGUAGGACUACCCGCUGAACUUAAGCAUAUCAAUACGCGGAGGA